UACUUGGACUUUGUUAUGUCCAUGUCAUUGACCUUUGUGUGACAUAACCUUAAAAGUCUUUCCACAUUUUUCUAGAUUCUGUAUAAAAAUGCGUCGUAUUCAAGGAAGUUUUGGAUCAAGAGAUCCUGAGGAGGACCGUAAGAAGAACCGUGAAUCUGUUUUGGCAAAUUUAGUUUUGUUUUGCUCGAUUGUGGUGAUAAUACGAGUGGCCCCUAUUGUUGUAAACAGUCUAUAAUGGAAGCAAGUUAUGUUCUUCGCAUCUUCGCAAUGUGGGACUGAAUGUUGUGAUGUAAUAAAGUUUUAUACGUUUUUCAUUAUUUGUAUGACUUGUAAAUUACAUGGAAUGUAAAAAAGCCGAAUAAAGUCAUGUAAUCGGA